rnacentral:rRNA from 1 species
GACGAACGCUGGCGGCGUGCUUAGCACAUGCAAGUCGAGCGGAAAACUUCGGUUUUCAGCGGCGGACGGGUGAGUAACACGUGGGCAACCUGCCUCACAAUGAGGGAUAGCCUUCCGAAAGGAAGAUUAAUACCUCAUAACACAAGAGAAACGCAUGUUUCUCUUGCCAAAGAAUUUCGUUGUGAGAUGGGCCCGCGGCGCAUUAGCUUGUUGGUGGGGUAACGGCUCACCAAGGCUUCGAUGCGUAGCCGACCUGAGAGGGUGAUCGGCCACAUUGGAACUGAUACACGGUCCGGACUCCUACGGGAGGCAGCAGUGGGGAAUAUUGCACAAUGGAGGAAACUCUGAUGCAGCAACGCCGCGUGAGUGAUGAAGGUCUUCGGAUUGUAAAACUCUGUCUUCUGGGACGAUAAUGGCGGUACCAGAGGAGGAAGCCACGGCUAACUACGUGCCAGCAGCCGCAGUAA